GCUUACAGCAUUGAUGUUGUUAAAUAUGGUGUCAUUAUUCAAGAUAUGCUUUUAUCUCUCGAAUCCUAAUUGCAUUGUUGGCCAAAACCAUAUUUAUAAUUGCAGUCUCUUGUACAUCUGUAAACAAGCGUCCUCGUCCUCCAUGAUGUCUUUGCCUUUCCACUCUGUACAGAAUUCAAACACAGUAUGUGUUCAGUAUAGGAACUGUAAACAAUGUACAAAAAAGGGUAGUACAGCAUGAUAACCAACCUCAUUCAUUCAAUUCAAUGCAGUGCAGUAAAUGGAUGGCUUAGAGUUACAAAUGUUUAUGCAAUACUAUGCAGUCAUACGUAUUUUACAGUACAUUACUGUAAUGCUAAAAUAGUCAUUAGAUAGUUGCAUACCUGUUCUCAUUUCUGAAGGUUCGAAUCAAGUUGGGCUGGACUCAAAGUCCAGCCUCACUCAUGGUCAAACUGUGGUUGAUCACACGAUCAACAAGUGUUGCCCUAAUCUCAUCAGAGAUGGCUCUCCUUCCUUCUCUUCUUUGCCUUUGCCCUCAUCCUCCUCUUUCUCUUCCUCCUACUCCAACUCUUCGUCUUUGAAUUUGUCCUCGUUGUUGUCCCCUGCCUCUCCCUCCUACUCCUCUUGCUCUCUGUCCAUUGUUGGCAUCCAUUGUUCAAAACAGGUAAUCUGACCUUUGACCUAUUUAUAGGCCUAUACUACAGUAAAGCAGUGAUUGGUUAGUGAUCAGUUAAGCAAUUAGUGUUUGCACAUGUGAGGAGUGUGUGUGUGACCUGGUGAAUAAGUGUAGCAUUUUGAUUGGUUGUGUUUUGAAAAGGAAAGCAAGUCACUUCCUGUUAGAUUUUUGUGUUUUAGGUAGAGAAUUGUGUGUAGUAUUUUGAAAAAAGUGUUUUAUGCAUUUGACAACUGAGUCAAAGGCUGAGAAAUAGCUUAUGGUUUUGGAUAUUUGGUGUGUAGUUUUGCACUUUGAGUGAGAGGUUUCAAAAAUCGCGUGAUAUGAAAAGAUUUUGUGUGUAAGCAGUUGGAAAAAACUGUAAUAAGGGAUACACUCAUUCACACAUCUUCAGUAGUAAGACUCAUGCAGGUGCGCUGGAGAGAUUCCCAAAAACAGAUUGCUAGCCUAAGUUUAACCUUUUUAUUGAAAAUUAAGUCAUUCUUUCGGUCUAAUCAGCAUGAAAGGCUUUAACAGAGGUUGGUAGACCAAAACACAACUCAAAUGAUUUUACACCAUACACAUACAUUAGCAAAUGCUUUCCAACAGAUGUUCAAUAGGACCUGUUUAGAUUUUCUUUGUGUACUUUCCCAGCUGUGAGGUUUCUCUGUGGCUUAUACAUGUCAUACGAUAGAUGGGUGUCCUACUGUAAUUACUACUAACCAUUCAUAAAACCAAAAACAAAAGAGAGCAGCGAGGCAGAACUAAGACAAACCGCUGGCCAGCCAGGCUUUCGUGAACAUGGCAUGUUACUUAGCGGAGGUGUGCUUCGUUUGCCAACACUGACAUGCCCACAUUUCACAGGCUCAUCCAUCAAACUAAACUCUACCCUUUAAAGUGAACAAGUGAAGGGAGAAAUAUUGAGUGCAUCUCUCCCUUCUUCUUCACAGAGAGCACGCCAAAACAUACAAUGACUGUUUACGAUUUACAAGAAUAGGAGCAUUAAUAUUUUGACGGCGCUGAAGUAGUAGGACUACUGGAACAACCAGUAAAAGAUAUCUGGCCUCAGCCACUGAGAGCUCUUAAACACUGUUGUCCUGGAGACCUUUAGUCUAGGGCUCCAUGCUGGGAGGGGAGGUCAGUGAAGCAUGUUGUGAGGUUUGACCCCAAUGGCAUUUCCUAUUGGCCCAGGUCAGGAUUCUGGAAUGUGUGGAGCCGGUGCCCUCUUUGUUUCACACCUGCUCUCGGUUAACAUGACCUCCGUGGAUCUAAAGGUUAACUGCCCCUUUCUUAAAUAGUUAUGUGGUUUUAGAGCAAGUGGCUUGUUUUGGGUGUGUAGGGGUGUACAUUGUAAGAUGCAUUCUGGGUAAGAGCGCAUGCUAUGACUAAAAUGUAAAUGUAAGAUCGCCUUAAUUCAGUUUCUAUAACAGUGUUAUAUUUCCUUGUUAUGCAUUACGAAUGUACAUUUAGGGAUUCAUGCUGUUAUAAAGGCUGAUAUAAGGAGCUAUGAGCUGUUAUGAAUGCUUAUAACAGGUCUUAGAAUACAUUAUGAUCUGAUGGAAGGCUAUGUAAUGGUUUAUUGGAGGAUCAUUUGAAUGAGGUGAUUGGCAUAGAUCCAGCUCAUACACCCUUGACGUAUGUUUCUGGAACUAGUUGAAAGAACCUCAUGACAGUCAAUCAUGCCUGAUGUUUUUCAGUCCUAGUUGAAAGGGUUACAGUGCUGAUAAAACUCAAACACAGAUUGAGUAAGGAAUGUCUGUCAUAUAAAGCAGGGUUUGUUUUUAGAAGAUAUUUCUAUUGAGGCUUUUUCUUGGCAGUCGUUUCCCAGGCUGCAUCAGAAGGAACUUACCAAGGAAGGAUUGUUUCAAUUAAAUUGAAAUUUAACUUAAGUAAAUAUCAUCACAGCGAUUUAAUCUUGGAACACAGAGCUACCCUUUAUUUACUGAUUAUUGGUACAUAUUAUCGGAACUCUGGGACAUGGUUCUAUUUUGAUAUGUCACAUCUCACUCUCACAGAAUAUUUACCUCUUUCACCAAUAUACAUUUAGGUUUCCGCUCUCAGAGAGAAGACCAAAUGUGAACUCCUUUUCUGGCCAAAGCUGUCUGAGCGAUCUUAGUCGGACUAUCAAAUUGACUUUGUACAUAACAAACUGCUCAUGCUAAAAGCAACAAUGAAAAUGGAGACGUAACUCAUCAACAUGCCAAUACUGCAUACUUUUGAGGUCAGGGGUCAAGGGAUGUUCACUUCUGUGAGUAUAGAUUACUUGUCAUCAUGGUGACAUAUGGCAUUCUUGCACGCCAUAGCUUGGGGUGAUUGGAAAUGCAAGAACGUAUGAAAAGGUCCAUUUCUCAGUCUCAGAUGGGUCGUCUUUGUCCCAAGCCCAUUCUCUUCUUUUGAUUCCAUUCAGACUUCGACAUGGUUUGGAAACUCUAUCCAGCAUUGGAUGACAAGGGAUGACAAGGCAAUAUAAAAGAUAUCCAGCUUUCAUGUCAAUAGAGAUAUAUUUUAUUAAACUUCCAUUUCCAACAAUAAUGUCUCAAUGUUGUUUGUUCUGUAGGCUAUAUCCAGUUAGUUAUGUAGGCUAUAUCCAGUUAGUGUUACGAUUCUCUAAAGCAGAACCCAGAAGCCCACCAGGACAAGGUGAGUAAAAUGAAGGUGAGUAUUUAUUUACAGAGUCAAGGUGAAAGCAGAAUAAUCCAGGAGACGGAGCGGGCAGCGGAGGUGAGUUGGUGAGAGUGAAUAGGCCGAUCCAAUGAUGUGACAGAAGCCACCGACGACCAGGCAAGGGGGUGAAUGUUCCGGGAGAAUGACUGUAGACAGAGUAAACGAAGGUGAGUAACCGGUAAAAAGUACAGAACAACAAAACUAACUCUGGUAACAUGAGGCUGAUACGCUGACACAACAUACUGUUCAUUGCUAACGAUCCGGCAGGGAAUGGAUGUCAGGUCAGAGCUUAAGAAGAGAAGAGGUGAUGAUCAGGACCAGGUGUGCAGAUGGCUGAUGAGAUGCAGGUGCGGGUAAUUGAGCGAUCUCCCGCCUAGCUUCGUCGCCCGGCAACCAGACAGGGUGUGUUCAGAAAACUCAGGAAACAACUCCAAAACAGAAAACAGGCAGCUCAGGCAGAACACAGAAUCAGGAAGCAGGAUUCAUGACAGUUAGUUAUGUAGGCUAUAUCCAGUGAGUUAUGUAGGCUAUAUUCAGCUGGUUAUGUAGGCUAUAUUCAGUUAGUUAUGUAGGCUAUAUUCAGUUAGUUAUGUAGGCUAUAUUCAGUUAGUUCUGUAGACUAUAUUCAGUUAGUUAUGUAGGCUAUAUUCAGUUAGUUAUGUAGGCUAUAUCCAGUUAGUUAUGUAGGCUAUAUCCAGUGAGUUAUGUAGGCUAUAUUCAGCUGGUUAUGUAGGCUAUGUUCAGUUAGUUAUGUAGGCUAUGUUCAGUUAGUUAUGUAGGCUAUAUUCAGUUAGUUAUGUAGGCUAUAUUCAGUUAGUUCUGUAGGCUAUAUCCAGUGAGUUAUGUAGGCUAUAUCCAGUGAGUUAUGUAGGCUAUAUUCAGCUGGUUAUGUAGGCUAUGUUCAGUUAGUUAUGUAGGCUAUAUUCAGCUGGUUAUGUAGGCUAUGUUCAGUUAGUUAUGUAGGCUAUAUUCAGCUGGUUAUGUAGGCUAUGUUCAGUUAGUUCUGUAGGCUAUAUUCAGUUAGUUAUGUAGGCUAUGUUCAGUUAGUUAUGUAGACUGUAUUCAGUUAGUUCUGUAGGCUAUAUUCAGUUAGUUCUGUAGACUAUAUUCAGUUAGUUAUGUAGGCUAUAUCCAGUUAGUUAUGUAGGCUAUAUCCAGUGAGUUAUGUAGGCUAUAUUCAGCUGGUUAUGUAGGCUAUAUCCAGUUAGUUAUGUAGGCUAUAUCCAGUGAGUUAUGUAGGCUAUAUUCAGUUAGUUAUGUAGGAUAUAUCCAGCAAGUUAUGUAGGCUAUAUUCAGUUAGUUAUGUAGGCUAUAUUCAGUUAGUUCUGUAUGCUAUAUUCAGUUAGUUCUGUAGGCUAUAUUCAGCUGGUUAUGUAGGCUAUAUUCAGUGAGUUAUGUAGGCUCUAUUCAGUUAGUUAUGUAGGCUAUAUUCAGUUAGUUCUGUAGACUAUAUUCAGUUAGUUAUGUAGGCUAUAUUCAGUUAGUUCUGUAGGCUAUAUUCAGUUAGUUCUAUUCAGUUAGUUCUGUAGGCUAUAUUCAGUUAGUUCUGUAGGCUAUAUCCAGUUAGUUAUGUAGGCUAUAUCCAGUUAGUUCUUUAAAACUUAGCUUCUAUACUUUUCUUACUUUCUUUUGCAGGCC
rnacentral:lncRNA from 1 species